rnacentral:rRNA from 1 species
CGCGUAGGCGGCCUUCUAAGUCAGACGUGAAAUCCCCCGGCUUAACCUGGGAACUGCGUCUGAUACUGGGAGGCUUGAGUGCGGGAGAGGGAUGCGGAAUUCCAGGUGUAGCGGUGAAAUGCGUAGAUAUCUGGAGGAACACCGGUGGCGAAGGCGGCAUCCUGGACCGACACUGACGCUGAGGCGCGAAAGCUAGGUAGCAAACG